CACGCAGGCGGUCUGUCAAGUCGGAUGUGAAAUCCCCGGGCUCAACCUGGGAACUGCAUUCGAAACUGGCAGGCUAGAGUCUUGUAGAGGGGGGUAGAAUUCCAGGUGUAGCGGUGGAAUGCGUAGAGAUUAGGAAGAACACCAGUGGCGAAGGCGACUUUCUGGACUGUAACUGACGCUGAGGCUCGAAAGCGUGGGGAGCAAACA
rnacentral:rRNA from 1 species